AGGAUGAACGCUGGCGGCGUGCCUAACACAUGCAAGUCGAACGUCCUGUCUCGCAAGAGGCAGGGAGUGGCGGACGGGUGAGUACCACGUGGGUCAUCUACCGUGAGGUGAGGAAUACCGGCGAGAAAUCGCCGACAAGACCGCAUAGGCUCGAUGCAAGUCGAGCAAAGCUCUUUCGAGAGAGGGAGCGCCACACGAGGAGCCUGCGCCCGAUUAGCUAGCUGGUGGAGUAACGGUUCACCAGGGCGACGAUCGGUAGCUGGUCUGAGAGGACGAUCAGCCACACUGGGAUUGAGAACGGCCCAGACUCCUACGGGGGGCAGCAGUGAGGAAUUUUCGUCAAUGGGGGCAACCCUGAACGAGCAACGCCGCGUGCAGGAAGAGGUUUCGGAUCGUAAACUGCUUUUCUCGGGGAAGAGAAUGGACGGUACCCGAGGAAUCAGCCCCGGCUAACUACGUGCCAGCAGCCGCGGU
rnacentral:rRNA from 1 species